UAUUUCAUGUCUAAUUCUCUAACUUAAGAGUUAUACUAUAUAAAAAAUUUCCUUUGUCCUACUUCUCUUACUCUGCCCCUUGUACGAUACAUAGUGAAAAUCAUCUGAAAUACUUUAUGACUUCUGAUACAAGACUGAAAGUAUCAGUAUUGUAAUAGCAACUAAUAGCAGCUGGCUGGAGCACUAUAAUGAGGAUUCUGAACCUGAGAUCUGGGUGAGUGCUGCUCUAGAAGAAUUCUGCUCCCGACCUUUGAGUUAUACACCAGCUGUUCCCAAGUGGACCAGAGACAAGAUACUCUUCUGCUCUCUGCUCAUGUCCAGAUAUAUCUGAAGCCUAAGAGAAAGAAGACAUAAGAUAAAGGGGAAAAAAAAAUUCUUAGAAGUCAGAAAGAAAGAAUGAUGGAGAAGAAAACAUGUUUUUACUGGGAAUAAUGAAGACAAGUUUCCCUC